rnacentral:rRNA from 1 species
GACGAACGCUGGCGGCGUGCUUAACACAUGCAAGUCGAACGGAAAGGCCUGCUUUCCCUUGUGGAUUGCGGGUACUCGAGUGGCGAACGGGUGAGUAACACGUGAGUGAUCUGCCCCCAACUUGGGUAUAAGCCUGGGAAACUGGGUCUAAUUCCCGAUAGGACUGCAGGGUGGUGCCUGUGGUGGAAAACGAUUUUCUAGUGGUUGGGGAUGAGCUCGCGGCCUAUCAGCUUGUUGGUGGGGUAAUGGCCUACCAAGGCGGCGACGGGUAGCCGGCCUGAGAGGGUGGACGGCCACAUUGGGACUGAGAUACGGCCCAGACUCCUACGGGAGGCAGCAGUGGGGAAUAUUGCACUAUGGGCGGAAGCCUGAUGCAGCGACGCCGCGUGGGGGAUGACGGCCUUCGGGUUGUAAACUCCUUUCGACCGCGAGGAAGCCACCUGGUUGGAAGGGUGGUGACGGUAGUGGUAGAAGAAGCACCGGCUAACUACGUG